rnacentral:rRNA from 1 species
GAUGAACGCUGGCGGCGUGCCUAAUACAUGCAAGUCGAGCGAACAGACGAGGAGCUUGCUCCUCUGACGUUAGCGGCGGACGGGUGAGUAACACGUGGAUAACCUACCUAUAAGACUGGGAUAACUUCGGGAAACCGGAGCUAAUACCGGAUAAUAUAUUGAACCGCAUGGUUCAAUAGUGAAAGACGGUUUUGCUGUCACUUAUAGAUGGAUCCGCGCCGCAUUAGCUAGUUGGUAAGGUAACGGCUUACCAAGGCAACGAUGCGUAGCCGACCUGAGAGGGUGAUCGGCCACCCUGGAACUGAGACACGGUCCAGACUCCUACGGGAGGCAGCAGUAGGGAAUCUUCCGCAACGGGCGAAAGCUUGACGGAGCAACGCCGCGUGAGUGAUGAAGGUCUUCGGAUCGUAAAACUCUGUUAUUAGGGAAGAACAAAUGUGUAAGUAAAUAUGCACGUCUUGACGGUACCUAAUCAGAAAGCCACGGCUAACUACGUG